GACGAACCGAGCGAACGUUGUUCGGAAUCACUGGGCUUAAAGGGCGCGUAGGCGGGCAUCAUAGUCUGUGGUGAAAUCCGGCAGCUUAACUGUCGAAUUGCCAUGGAUACUGGGUGUCUCGAGGGAGGCAGGGGUGCGCGGAACUAAUGGUGGAGCGGUGAAAUGCGUUGAUAUCAUUAGGAACUCCGGUGGCGAAGGCGGCGCACUGGUCCUUUUCUGACGCUGAGGCGCGAAAGCCAGGGGAGCAAAC
rnacentral:rRNA from 1 species